CAUUAAGAAGCUACAGCAGCGUUAACCUUUUAAGUUAAAGAAGGGGCCCUGACUCCCCCUUAAUGA
rnacentral:tRNA from 1 species